rnacentral:rRNA from 1 species
AUACGGAGGGUGCGAGCGUUACUCGGAGUCACUGGGCGUAAAGCGUCCGGAGGCGGUCGGGUAAGUCGGGUGUGAAAGCCCCGGGCUCAACCUGGGAAGUGCACCCGAUACUGCUCGACUCGAGUGCGGGAGAGGAUGGCGGAAUUCCCGGUGUAGCGGUGAAAUGCGUAGAGAUCGGGAGGAACACCAGUGGCGAAGGCGGCCAUCUGGCCCGCAACUGACGCUGAGGGACGAAAGCGUGGGGAGCAAACAGGAUUAGAAACCCCAGUAGUCC